rnacentral:rRNA from 1 species
CUACGGGGGGCAGCAGUGGGGAAUAUUGGGCAAUGGGCGCAAGCCUGACCCAGCAACGCCGCGUGAGGGAAGAAUGUCUUCGGAUUGUAAACCUCUGUCCUUAGGGACGAAAAAAAUGACGGUACCUAAGGAGGAAGCUCCGGCUAACUACGUGCCAGCAGCCGCGGUAAUACGUAGGGAGCAAGCGUUGUCCGGAAUUAUUGGGCGGAAAGGGUGCGUAGGCGGUAAGCCAAGUCAGAUGUGAAAGACCCGGGCUUAACUCGGGAGGUGCAUUUGAAACUGGGUUACUUGAGUACAGGAGAGGUAAGUGGAAUUCCUAGUGUAGCGGUGAAAUGCGUAGAUAUUAGGAGGAACACCAGUGGCGAAGGCGACUUACUGGACUGUCACUGACGCUAAGGCACGAAAGCGUGGGGAGCAAACAGGAUUAGAUACCCGAGUAGUC